AGUGCUGUAUUGUUGAGUUUUGUAUGAACUAAUCUAGCUUCUCUAAAAAAAAAAAAAAAAAAAAAAAAAAGAAAGAAAAGAAAGAAAGAAAAGAAAGAAAGAAAGAAAAAAAAAGAAAAGAAAAAAAAGAGAACCACAGCUUUGGACAAAAGUCUAUAGCCAGUGCAUUUGAAAACUCCCCUUGCACCAGGGCUGACUGUAGCUGGGGGAAGACAUUUUACUCAUUUGCUCUUUCCUUUCAUACAGUCAGCUGGUCCCUCUUCUCAGGUGUAGAUCACCUAUUAUAAUUUUACCUAAUUUUGAUACUCUGAUAAGGAAAGUCCCAGGACUUAUCAGCUGGGAUAGGCCUCACUUACAAGACAGCUCUGUUCAGUAUUUGGAAGAAAGCCUGACAGGUUUCUUCGGAAAAGUGGCCAUCCAUGGAAUGAAUGAAAUGUUCUCUUUCUAUUCCAGGGAUUGCAGUGGCAAAGCUAGGCUAGGUCUUGGAGGCUGGUGUAAGGCGAUGUGGGUGAAGGCAGGAGGCUGAUGGAAAGACUGGGGGGAAGAAAAGCCGAAAUGGAUUCACGGUGCCUUGGAUGAAGGACGAGAGGGGAACUGCAAGCUCCUUCAACUGGUUCUGUCCGGUGAGAAGUGAUCAAGCUUGGGCUGACAAGAGGCUCAGGGAGCCCUCACGUUCUUUCGCUUUUUUACCUGCCAAUCAAACUGCUACAAGACAACACCCUGAUCUGGCAUGGACAUCGCGGGUCCAAGCCUGUAGCCCCAAAUCGGAUAAUCUCUGCAGCUGAUAACAAGCAAAAGAGAAGCCAGGCAACAGCCAUAUUAAAGAAGAAAACAAUCAACUCUGAGAUCCAACUUAGAAAUAAUGUUUCAUUCAAGAUAAGGCUCGUGGCUUAGGAGAUUGUGACCUGGCUUGCAUCAUUCUAAGACUUCUAUCGUCUGUUUUCAAAACCCAAGGAGGACCUCCUUUUCUGUGUGAUAGUUCCUCAUGCUUUGCCAGCCACUGGGUCUUUAAGGAAGCUUGCCAAGAGUUCCCGGCUGGGAAGGACAGUUCGAGUUCAUCAUAGACAAUGAGCUGGCACCACAGUUUAAGUGACUCACCAACCUGGUUGCCCACUUCAAAAUGUCAAGAACCACACUAUCUAAUUGAAAGAACUGUGUUUUAGCAAAGUGUAAUUGGAUCGCCUGGCAAGAUCAUCUCAAACUAUGUCUCUGACCUUGCCUUUCAGUGGCUAUUUUGAGCACAAGAGGAGAAAGGAAAUGAUUCCUGAAUUAUAUCUUGUUUUUAAAAAUUAAGAUUAAUUAAUACUUGGUUUUAUGUUCAUUCCAUUGUAGGAACUUAGUGAUUAUUACAAAACAGUCAAAAUAGGUCAUAGCAAAAUGAACGUUUAAGAUUAGGUUAAAACAUUCCUCUGAAAUUUUAGUAUUCACUUUUGAAGUGUCAAUUACUAUAUUUCUGUAAUUUCUCAUUUUUUUCUUGGCUUAGAGUCAAGAUGAAAAAUGAUAUUUGAAUCAAAGACAUUGUUUUGUUAUAUAGCCACUCCUUUCUAAAAUGCAAAUCCACCCUCCCCUCACCAAUGCUUUAUUCUUUGUGCGCGCACACACACACACACACACACACACACACACACACACACACAGACAUACACAGAACCAGCACCCAAAUGGUAGAGGAGGUCCUUCCAAGACUUCUAGGACCUGGAUCAUGUAAGCAGUAGAUGAGAAAAUGAAGUAAGAGAUAUAGAGUAAUAACAAUAAAAGUCAAUGAUUUCAUUUUACAAAAAAGUCAUUGUGUAGUACUCAGAUAUUUUUAAGAGCAAGUAUUAUUAUGACUAAAGUAUAUUAUACUUCUAAAUUAUUAUGAUUCUCAUCUAAUUUCAAGCCACACAUAGGCGCCAUUUGAAAGCAUUUUGUGUUACAACCUAUCAACAAAAAUCAACUAAUAGUUUUAUAACGUGCAUAGGUUUACCCCAUGGGGAAUUAAAAUUUUUAUCUGCAAGUAUUUCUGUUGUUGUGAGACUUUAGGACAAGACAACAUUUGGUGUUAACAUAGAAGAAUAUUCUAUGGCUUUUUUAGCUUUAAAGUUCAUUACUCUAAAAUAAAGUACACGUGGUAUUUUUUUCUUCCUAGUGUUCUCUUAUUAUAUGUAGAGUAUUUUCGGUUGUUGUUUUUAACGUAUACAUUAUUUUUAUUAAGUCAUUUCAUAAAAGAUAAGAUAUAUACUAAUAGACCCUUGGUUUUCUCCUAAUUUAAUUAUUUCAAGUCAAGCAAAAUUGGGCAAUUUUCUUUCAGGAAAAAAAAAAUAUUGAGCAUGAUUUUGAGGUAAAACUGAUUAUUUACAGCAUCUUUUCUCUAAUAGGCUAACAUUUAUGAUGGAUCUUAUUUCAAAGUUGAUUAUUCUCAAAGAAAAGUGGAGAUAUUAGAAUUUCCGAGUAAAUUGCAUUGUUUUAAAAAGUACUUUAAUGCAUUGUUCACAUUGUUGCCAGCUAUUGACCAAAAAAGAGAAGAAG
rnacentral:lncRNA from 1 species